CAAACAAAAUAAAUAUAUAUCAUUAUCUAUUCUUUUAACUUUCCCUUCUUCUUUUUUUACAAUUAUUUACUCAAAUAUAGUGUUUUCUUAUUUAUAAUAAUAUAUAUUGUAAGGCUCAAUUUUUGCCUGGGCUCGCAAACCAAAAAAUAAACCAAUAAAAAACAAAUUAAAAGCCCAAAAAUACAAAACAGUCCAAUUACAUAGACCCAACUAGCCUAAUACACCCAAGCCCAAAACAAAAAAAAAUAUCAGAAGCAGAAAACCCCUAGCAAACAAUCAGUCGCCGCAGCAGUAGCCCAAGCGCGCCUCUGUUCUCCCUCG
rnacentral:lncRNA from 1 species